GCUGCACUUCCUAUUGUCCCUGCAGAUUUUGUUUUUUUCCAUCCUGGUUGAACUUUCUAGCGUGACACUAAUAAGUCCAUUAGCAUCAUAUAUGUGGCUUAGCAGGGCGCAGGGGGCAUAGCCUAACAAAUGUGCGGAGUCAAUUGGUUUCCCAAGGGGACGCUACUGAGAAGCUGGCUCACCAAGUCCCGACCCAGACUGCUGCUGCUCAUCGCGGGCUUGAAGAGGCCUCAGGUCACCCUCAUGCGGAGGAAAAGGAUGAAACGCACGAAAGUAGCAAAGGCCACGUAAGCGAACUUGCAGUCGAAUGCCGCACUUUACUUGAGUCUACAAAACCGAAGAAAUCUCCGUCUGCCGUCGACAUGAACGCAGAAAACCAUCACACAGAAACACCGGCUUUCCCAUCGCUGCCAAACACACGAACUAAACGCCAAAGCAGAAGCAGGAGCGAGUCUGUGGUGAAAAUGAGGGAUCUUCCACAAAGAUCCAGACCCCCCGACUGAGACCUCGCACCCACAGACAUUUGUUCAUCUUUCUCUCUCUCUCUAAAAAAGAAAACACCUCUGUCAUGCUUCGGCUCUCAGCGUGUGACAGUACAUUAUUACUCUUUUGGUUGACAGUGCUUUCCUUUCCUGUGCUUUCUGAUCAGGAUUUCAGGGAUUUUUAUUCUUUUAGAUUCCCAAUGAUGUGUGUGUGGGUGGAAAAUAUAGAAAAACUGAAAAAACAACAACAACGUGUAUAAUCACCAUGAGCUAGUAGGCUAACUAGCGUGCCGGUGGGGUUUUCAUACUGUUGAUACGGCCGUUACC
rnacentral:lncRNA from 1 species